UACGAAGGGAGCUAGCGUUGUUCGGAAUAACUGGGCGUAAAGGGCGUGUAGGUGGAUAGGUACGUUAGAUGUGAAAGCCCCGGGCUUAACCUGGGAAUGGCAUUUAAUACGGCUUAUCUAGGGGACGAGAGGGGAAAGCGGAAUGGCGAGUGGAGCAGUGAAAUGCAUUGAGAUUCGCUAGAACACCAGAGGCGAAGGCGGCUUUCUGGCUCGUUACUGACACUAAGACGCGAAAGCGUGGGGAGCAAACAGG
rnacentral:rRNA from 1 species